rnacentral:rRNA from 1 species
AGCGGAGGAAAAGAAACCAACAGGGAUUGCCCCAGUAACGGCGAGUGAAGCGGCAACAGCUCAAAUUUGAAAUCUGGCCCCCGGGUCCGAGUUGUAAUUUGCAGAGGAUGCUUCGGGCGAGGUGCCUUCCGAGUUCCCUGGAACGGGACGCCACAGAGGGUGAGAGCCCCGUCUGGUCGGACACCGAGCCCGUGUGAAGCUCCUUCGAAGAGUCGAGUAGUUUGGGAAUGCUGCUCAAAAUGGGAGGUAUAUGUCUUCUAAAGCUAAAUAUUGGCCAGAGACCGAUAGCGCACAAGUAGAGUGAUCGAAAGAUGAAAAGCACUUUGAAAAGAGGGUUAAAAAGUACGUGAAAUUGUUGAAAGGGAAGCGCCCAUGACCAGACUUGGGCCCGGUGAAUCACCCGGCGUUCUCGCCGGUGCACUUUGCCGGGCACAGGCCAGCAUCAGUUUGGCGCGGGGGACAAAGGCUUCGGGAACGUGGCUCCCUCGGGAGUGUUAUAGCCCGCUGCGUAAUACCCUGCGCCGGACUGAGGUACGCGCAUCGCAAGGAUGCUGGCGUAAUGGUCAUCAGCGACCCGUCUUGAAACACGGACCAAGGAGUCGUCUUCGUAUGCGAGUGUUCGGGUGUCAAACCCCUACGCGGAAUGAAAGUGAACGCAGGUGAGAGCUUCGGCGCAUCAUCGACCGAUCCUGAUGUUCUCGGAUGGAUUUGAGUAAGAGCAUACGGGGCCGGACCCGAAAGAAGGUGAACUAUGCCUGUAUAGGGUGAAGCCAGAGGAAACUCUGGUGGAAGCUCGCAGCGGUUCUGACGUGCGAAUCGAUCGUCAAAUAUGGGCAUGGGGGCGAAAGACUAAUCGAAC